GUCUACGGCCAUGCUCCCCUGAACAAGUCUAAUCCCAUAUGAUCUCGGAAGCUAAGGAGGGUUGAGCCUGGUUAGUACUUGGAUGCGAGACCACCUAGGAAGACCAGGUGCUGUAGGUG
rnacentral:rRNA from 1 species